rnacentral:rRNA from 1 species
UACGUAGGGGGCAAGCGUUGUCCGGAUUUAUUGGGCGUAAAGAGCGUGUAGGCGGCCAGACAGGUCCGUUGUGAAAACUAGAGGCUUAACCUCUAGACGUCGAUGGAAACCAUCUGGCUAGAGUCCGGAAGAGGAGAGUGGAAUUCCUGGUGUAGCGGUGAAAUGCGCAGAUAUCGGAAGGAACAUCAGUGGCGAAAGCGACUUCCUGGACCCAGUACCGACGUUCAGGCACGAAAGCGUGGGGGGAGCAAAACAGGA